UACGGAGGGUGCGAGCGUUGUCCGGAAUCAUUGGGCGUAAAGGGCGCGUAGGUGGCGGGACAAGCGUGCGGUGAAAGCCUGGGGCUCAACCCCGGGUCGGCCGUGCGAACUGUUUUGCUUGAGCACUGUAGAGGCAGGCGGAAUUCCGGGUGUAGCGGUGGAAUGCGUAGAGAUCCGGAAGAACACCAGUGGCGAAGGCGGCUCACUGGCCCGGUACUGACGCUGAGGCGCGAAAGCGUGGGGAGCAAACAGG
rnacentral:rRNA from 1 species